AACGAACGCUGGCGGCAGGCUUAACACAUGCAAGUCGAGCGCCCCGCAAGGGGAGCGGCAGACGGGUGAGUAACGCGUGGGAAUCUACCCAUCUCUACGGAAUAACGCAUGGAAACGUGUGCUAAUACCGUAUACGUCCUUCGGGAGAAAGAUUUAUCGGAGAUGGAUGAGCCCGCGUUGGAUUAGCUAGUUGGUGGGGUAAAGGCCUACCAAGGCGACGAUCCAUAGCUGGUCUGAGAGGAUGAUCAGCCACACCGGGACUGAAACACGGCCCAGACUCCUACGGGAGGCAGCAGUGGGGAAUAUUGGACAAUGGGCGCAAGCCUGAUCCAGCCAUGCCGCGUGAGUGAUGAAGGCCCUAGGGUUGUAAAGCUCUUUCACCGGUGAAGAUAAUGACGGUAACCGGAGAAGAAGCCCCGGCUAACUUCGUGCCAGCAGCCGCGGUAACAC
rnacentral:rRNA from 1 species